AGAGUUUGAUCAUGGCUCAGGAUGAACGCUGGCGGUAUGCUUAACACAUGCAAGUCGAACGAAAUCUUCGGAUUUAGUGGCGGACGGGUGAGUAACGCGUGAGAAUCUACUCUUAGAUUGGGGACAACAGUUGGAAACGACUGCUAAUACCGAAUGUGCCGAAAGGUAAAAGAUUUAUCGUCUGAGAAUGAGCUCGCGUUGGAUUAGCUAGUUGGAGUGGUAAUGGCACACCAAGGCGACGAUCCAUAACUGGUCUGAGAGGAUGACCAGUCACACUGGGACUGAGACACGGCCCAGACUCCUACGGGAGGCAGCAGUGGGGAAUUUUCCGCAAUGGGCGAAAGCCUGACGGAGCAAUACCGCGUGGGGGAAGAAGGCUCUUGGGUCGUAAACUCCUUUUCUCUGGGAAGAACAAAAUGACGGUACCAGAGAAUCAGCUCGAUUCCCCC
rnacentral:rRNA from 1 species